GCCAUUCACUUGGCUUCAUUUCAUCCUUAUUUUGAUCCUCGGGUGUCCGGCAAACUGUCCAAUCUGGAGGAGGACGGGGAGACUAGCAUGGCCAUGACGGGUGGCAUGGCAGCGCCGCUCCCGAUGAGUAACCAUACACGUGAGAGAGUCACGGUGGCCAAACUCACGCUGGAGCACUUCUACAGCACCCUGCUCACCCAGCACGAGGAGCGGGAGAUGAGGCAGAAGAAGCUGGAGAAGGUGAUGGAUGAGGAGGGU